UACGGAGGAUCCGAGCGUUAUCCGGAUUUAUGGGUUUAAAGGGUGCGUAGGCGGCCUGUUAAGUCAGGGGUGAAAGACGGUAGCUCAACUAUCGCAGUGCCCUUGAUACUGAUGGGCUUGAAUAUACUAGAGGUAGGCGGAAUGUGACAAGUAGCGGUGAAAUGCAUAGAUAUGUCACAGAACACCAAUUGCGAAGGCAGCUUACUAUGGUAUGAUUGACGCUGAGGCACGAAAGCGUGGGGAUCAAACAGG
rnacentral:rRNA from 1 species